rnacentral:tRNA from 1 species
GAUAGAGUGACUGAAAUUAGGUGAUAAAUUGUAAAUUUAUUAAUGAUUAAUUAUUAAUCCUCUAUCA